GACGAACGCUGGCGGCGUGCUUAACACAUGCAAGUCGAACGGAAAGGCCCUGCUUUUGUGGGGUGCUCGAGUGGCGAACGGGUGAGUAACACGUGAGUAACCUGCCCUUGACUUUGGGAUAACUUCAGGAAACUGGGGCUAAUACCGGCUAGGAGCUCCUGCUGCAUGGUGGGGGUUGGAAAGUUUCGGCGGUUGGGGAUGGACUCGCGGCUUAUCAGCUUGUUGGUGGGGUAGUGGCUUACCAAGGCUUUGACGGGUAGCCGGCCUGAGAGGGUGACCGGCCACAUUGGGACUGAGAUACGGCCCAGACUCCUACGGGAGGCAGCAGUGGGGAAUAUUGCACAAUGGGCGGAAGCGUGAUGCAGCAACGCCGCGUGCGGGAUGACGGCCUGCGGGUUGUAAACCGCUUUCGCCUGUGACGAAGCGUGAGUGACGGUAAUGGGUAAAGAAGCACCGGCUAACUACGUG
rnacentral:rRNA from 1 species